ensembl:lncRNA
UGUGAGUGUAUGUGUGUCUGUGUUUUUGUGUUUGAGUGUGUGUGAGGUUCACACACUUUGUGCUGACUGCAGUGAAAGCGGAGGGUCAGGGAUAGUUAGACCUUGUCCUCUCUGCAGACUGAACAACUGGAACAACUCUGAAGAUCUGGGAAACUACAGCAGCUACAUUCACUACUGCGAGUACUGCAGUACAAACCUGAGAUGAUUUUCAACAUCUCUGUUAUUGCUGGGUUUAUGCAUAUCUGAAUAGUCUGCUGGAUGGAGAUGAUGGUACAGAACCUGGAUCAUAACUGUGCCGGUGAAGCUGAAGAGGACCUGGAAAGAACAACCCCAAACAUGCAGCACACUAUGAAACAUCCAGCUGUGCAAGAUGAGCAGAAACACCACAGCAGGAAAACUCUGACAUGAAGUUUGAGUGUUCCAGCAGGACAGAGACUCAAAAUCAUAGCCACAGGUGAAAUAUUUUCCAGGCCACAAACGCAAGUCCACGUACAUUAAACUCACCACGAUCUUAAAGAAACCUUUUAUUCAACAACACCUGUGUGAGCAUAUUUAGGGUCAAACAUCUGCAUCCACAAACACAUGGCAGGAAACGUGUGCAGCCUUUCUUUAUGACAGUAUAACGCACUCUAAAUGAGUAUGAAUUUAACUGCAUCAGAUUCAUUGUAAGGUGUUUACAGUUUUCUGUUUGUUUUUGUUUUUUGUUUUUAAUUUUUAUGGGCGCUCUCAGGAUUUUAUUUUUAUUGCAUAAAUAAACUGAACAUUGAGCUGCUUUGAGUUUAGGGACUGGUUCUUAUACAGUGCUUUUCUACUCUGAGCACUCAAAGCACUUUACACAACUUUGGCCUCUUUCACACAUUCAGACUCUGUUGGAUGCAGCUUGGUUUUGGUCUUGUCCGAGGAUAUAUGUCAUGCAGACGGGAGCAGACGGGGAUGGAACCUAAACCUUCUGUUUAAUGUUUGCAGUUUUUUACUUCAGCUCUUUUAUCCUUGUGUUGUUUCCUGUGAUGUGCACUCUGUCUACUUUGUCACUUUGAGGCUGUAAAUCUAAUAAAAAAUUAUCUUUGUGUUUUGUUUGCCUGUUUUUAGGUCCUCUAAAUCACUGUGGUCAGUUGUGCUGUACAGACUAUGCAUGCAUGUACCUGUGUUAAAAAUACUCUGUAUACUCUGCUGACUGCUUCAGUAUGAAAAGCAGUGAUGGAUGUUCCAACAAGAUCAUCUUCUGUGUUUUUGUUCCUCCUGCGAGUCACGUACAAUGUUUGUGUCACGAUCCUGGGUCUUAGGACCCAGUGUUUUGAGUUCUAGUUCAUUUUGAUGUUUAUAGUAUGUUUAGCUCAUUAGGCCUCCUAUGUUGAUUUGCUUAUUAGUUCCCCCUUGUGUUUCAACCCAUGUUAAGUCUCCCCUGCCCUUCAUGUCUCUCUGUGCCCCCUCUGUUCUGUUUAUGGUGUGUCUUUGCAUGUUUGAGUUUCUUGUUUUCUGUCACCCUGCAUUGUGCAUUAUGUUCUCAUGGUUGGUCUUUUGUUACUCCCUCUAGUCUAGUCUCUUGUGUUCAAAGCUGAGUAUUUCCCUCUGUGUAUUUUGGUUCUUAGACCUCUGCCUUAUGGUUUGUCUCUGUUUCUUAGUUGCUGUCUCCACUGUGUCUAGUUCGCGUCUCUGUGUGAUACUUCCUGUUUUACUUUGAAGGUCCAUGCCUCAUGUGAGUGUUUCUAGUGUUGCGUCUCUGUCUCGUCCAGUCCUGAUUUCUCCCAGCUGUGCCCUCCUUCUGUGUCUCAUUCCCUCGUUAUCCCUCUGUGUAUUUAAGCCCUGUGUUUCUCUUUGUCAGUGUCGUAGUCUCCAUCAUAGCUGUGUGAUUUUUCCCUGUGGCUCCUUGUGCUUUAGUUUUCCCAGUUUAGUUUAUUUUGUAUUGUUUUUCGUGUCCCACUCCACGCCAGCAAUAAAGCUGUGUUUUUUGAGUUUACCUUUUGUCUCUGUGAGUUUGCGUUUGGGUCCUACUUUUGCCUGCACACAGCCGUACUGUGACAGAAGACUACGACCAUUACAUGGACCCAGCAAACCGCUCUCAGCUGCGUGAGCGUCAGGAUGCUGCCUUUGCUGAGCUAGAGGAGGAGCUCCGCUUGAGGCCGUGGCGCACUCCUGACUACGGGCGGAUUUUCCG